rnacentral:rRNA from 1 species
CAGCAGCCGCGGUAAUACGUAGGUGGCAAGCGUUGUCCGGAAUUAUUGGGCGUAAAGGGCUCGCAGGCGGUUUCUUAAGUCUGAUGUGAAAGCCCCCGGCUCAACCGGGGAGGGUCAUUGGAAACUGGGAAACUUGAGUGCAGAAGAGGAGAGUGGAAUUCUACGUGUAGCGGUGAAAUGCGUAGAGAUGUGGAGGAACACCAGUGGCGAAGGCGACUCUCUGGUCUGUAACUGACGCUGAGGAGCGAAAGCGUGGGGAGCGAACAGGAUUAGAUACCCCUGUAGUCCCUGUCUCUUAUAC